ACUCCUACGGGAGGCAGCAGUGGGGAAUAUUGGACAAUGGGCGAAAGCCUGAUCCAGCCAUGCCGCGUGUGUGAAGAAGGUCUUCGGAUUGUAAAGCACUUUAAGUUGGGAGGAAGGGCAGUUACCUAAUACGUAAUUGUUUUGACGUUACCGACAGAAUAAGCACCGGCUAACUCUGUGCCAGCAGCCGCGGUAAUACAGAGGGGUGCAAGCGUUAAUCGGAAUUACUGGGCGUAAAGCGCGCGUAGGUGGUUUGUUAAGUUGGAUGUGAAAUCCCCGGGGCUCAACCUGGGAACUGCAUUCAAAACUGACUGACUAGAGUAUGGUAGAGGGUGGUGGAAUUUCCUGUGUAGCGGUGAAAUGCGUAGAUAUAGGAAGGAACACCAGUGGCGAAGGCGACCACCUGGACUAAUACUGACACUGAGGUGCGAAAGCGUGGGGAGCAAA
rnacentral:rRNA from 1 species